UGCUUUCCUGCUGGAACAUCUAUCACCUCCUUGAUCACCAAGGUUGAUUUGUCUGAUUUGUCUGGCUAGGCAGAUGUCUCCUUCCUCCCUCAUUGCUCCAUGUGCGUCCUUCCUGAAGCUGUGUGCUCAGUCAAAGAGGACGACCUUCCAUGAAUAAAGGAAGACCAGUUUUUGGUCAAGGGUAUAUGAGUAGUCGAGUUCCCCUGCUAGAACCUCCAAACAAGCUCUCAACGUCCUUUAAUCCAUUUCUUUUCUUUUGCUUUUUAACAUCUUCCUCUUUCAACCUCUCUCAUUCUCAAAGGGCAUCCUAAUGAGAAAAGGCAGGGCAUUUUGA
rnacentral:snRNA from 1 species